rnacentral:rRNA from 1 species
GUAGGGGGCAAGCGUUAUCCGGAUUUACUGGGUGUAAAGGGGGCGCAGACGGCGAUGCAAGCCAGGAGUGAAAGCCCGGGGCCCAACCCCGGGACUGCUCUUGGAACUGCGUGGCUAGAGUGCAGGAGGGGCAGGCGGAAUUCCUGGUGUAGCGGUGAAAUGCGUAGAUAUCAGGAGGAACACCGGUGGCGAAGGCGGCCUGCUGGACUGCAACUGACGUUGAGGCCCGAAAGCGUGGGGAGCAAA